CUGAACAUUGAAAGCCAGAGAGUCCUGAACAGCCAGCUCAUCAGACCGCUUGGAAAUGAUCCUGUUGUCCUUGGGGGGUGAGAAGAUUUCUAGCUACCAUCGUAGCGGUUAUGUCAUUCUUGAUCACAGAAUCCCCAACUGUAAGAGGACCCGUAGCGGAUAAGAAGGACGGGUGCCAUAUGUUGUCUAAAGAAGACAUAUCAACAUCUUCCCCAACAUUCAAAUCAAGACGACGAUCAGAUGGGCAAGCCAUUUGCAAAAAAAAAAAUGAUGAAAGAAGAAGAGGUCGUGUAAGUCGAAUUCUUAGAAAUACAAAAUGAGGGAAAUUCCUAACAGGUAGCAACUCUCUAAGUGUGUUUUUGAACACGAUUAAUGCCUCUAUAAAAAGAAGAGGCAACAUGGCUUGUUUAGAAAUCAAAGAGGCAACGUGGCCGUUCGAAAACCAAAGAGGCACCUCUUCCCAAAUUUCAAAAGUUGGGCCGUUUGUUCAGAG
rnacentral:lncRNA from 1 species